CUUCAUUUUAAGCUUGAUUAAGUGAGAUCUAAGAUUUCCUUGUGUUUUUUAUUGUUAUGUUGCAUUGUAUUUUGUAACUUUGUGUUAUUAUGUUCAAUGUUUUAAUUGGGUGUUCCACAUUCGCAACUAACAUUCUUCUUUCUGUGUUUCCUUUUUCUUCCUGUUCUUCUCCUAUUGUAGACUGCCAAAGUGAAUGACCCUGUCAUCCUGUUUUCCAGGACCUAGAACACCAGCUGUUAUAGAACCUCAGUUACUUUGAUGUUUUGCCCUUGUUACAGCUGGUAAAACAAUGUUUGAGUUGUAGUUUUACAGUGUUUGGAGAUCUGUCCAUUUGCCAUGCCUUGUCUAGUGAAUAACUGAUAAUAUGUAACCCUCCGGUAGUUUUUGGAGUAUAACUACUACUACGUUCGACUAGCCAAUAUACAAAAAGUUUUAGCUUAAAAAAUCUUUGAUGGUAAUAAUGAAAGGACCAGUUACUUGGUGUUUAUUUAUUAGGUGCUAGCAGCAAAGCAGGUAAUGCAGAGGCGGCUCUCUUAUUAGGCGAUUUAGGCAGCCAACUAAUGCCUUGCAGUGAUGGGGUCUUUGUGUCUGCCUAAAUCGUCUCACGGUAGUCUACCAUGUCAGAUCCUCGGUCACAGACAUGGUAGUCACAGACCGAGGACCCGACACAGGAGGGGGCCUCGCGGCUUAGCCAUAAUGCUGCCGGGUGAGAGGCCCCUCCGGUCAUUCUGACCGUGAGAGAGCCAGCCUCCUGUCUGCAGCUCCAACGGGCGUGAGCUGCAGACUGAAGUGUCUCGCGAUCUCCGGCCUGUCAGAACAUUGUCGCGGGUUACCAUAGCAAUGCUCUGACUGGAGAUUGCGAGAAUUACCA